CAGAAUCAUUCACUGUUUUCACGUUGGAAAAUUCUCAUUACCCCACCUCACUCAAUUCAAAUUCAAAUUCAAAUUCAAUCUCCCAGUCUUUCUUUUUCAUCUUCUCUCCUCUUCUCUUUCAUUGUUUCUAAAUUCGCAAAUCAGAAAUCAAUAUCCAUAGUGACAGUGAUGAAAAAGAGCAUGACCGCUGCAAUUUAGUUUUUGAACUCCUGAUCCAUGUUCAUGUUGAAACUAUAGAACCAUUAUCUUAUUCUCUCACUCUCUCCCUCUGGUUUGUUGUUGUUGUUAUAGUUAGAAAAGGGCGACAUCCAAUCAAAAAUUUCGAUAUUGAUAUAAAAUCAUUUUUGUUUAUUGUCUGCAGUAAAAAGUGACAAAUUUGUAGUUCUCAGGAGAUGGAGAAACUGCAAUUGCAAAUCUGCAACAGAGCCUACUUUGAAGCUAGCUUUGAGGCCAUUCUUGAUGAGAGAUUUUGAAGCAUUUUAUGAGAGAUCAAGAUUUGUAUUCGAGAUAAAGACCAUGAGAUUGAUGGACACAAUUUGAUCCCAAAGCUGAAUAUAAAAGGCAGUGGCUACCUGGGUCCUCAAAGUUGUUACAUGAGUGGAAGUGUCCUGUUUAUCACACACCACCUACUGUGCCUUAAUUGGAGAAUCAUAGAAAUAGUCUUAUAGAAGACUUUAAACAUUAUUAUUUGCUCAAGGUUUAGUCUUUUUUAUACCCAAUUUGGUUUACUGUGCCUACAGUGUAUCUAAUUUUUUUUAUCAAAUUUGUAAAUCAUAAACCAAUCCGAUUAAAUUUCUUAAAAGUUAUAGUAA